rnacentral:lncRNA from 1 species
UAACCCAUUCAAUUAAAUUAUUCCAUUUAAUUAAAAGCAACAAGCAAUACAUUGAAACAGAACUACUGCUACACAUGAAUUAGUUUGGAAUAACAUGUUACUUACAGACAACCCGCCUAAUCUUCAUAGACCCUAACUAGCAGAGUAUAAAACAAAAUGGACAUAUUCUAGUCUUUCAUUCAAUUGUUGCCAGCUUCUCUUCGUCUAUCUCAAAAGCCUUCCUGACUUGUUUCAGCUCCUCAUUCAGAGCAAAAUGUUAAUAAAUAUUUAAGCAGACCCAAGUAAAUAAUGCAAAUAAUUACUUUUAACAGCUCUGUUAAGCAGACCCAACUCUAUUGUGUAAUAAUUACUCUACCUUAUUAGAAAAACAAAGAAAGCUCAUCAGACCACCACAAAAAUAAACAAACCAAAAGCAAAGAAAACCCUAAACACCCAUAUGCCAUAUAUAGACAAAUCGACAUAAAUAAAGAAAAAUCAAUUGACUAAAUCUCAAAAUAACCUCAAAAUUAUCAAAGAAAAAUUUGAAUUCUGGAGUUGGACGGCAGCGAUGCCAUGAGUCGGCGACUGAUGAGUGAAGAUUGAAGACGGAAGAGUGAAUCAGAAAUGAGUCAGAGGUUGGCCUGGUGGGAGAUCCGGAUCGGAGAAUUCGAGAUGGAGAGACAAAGGAUCGAGAUGGAUAUGAUCCGAGGACUGAGGUUCGAGAUGGAGAGAAAUGUUUGGGCAUAAACUCAACAAAGUGAACUGAAGGCUAAAGCUAAACACUGAAAUUAAGUGAAAUAUUUUUAAAUAAAUCGGUAUAAUCAGCUCAGUUCGGUAUAUACCAAUCGAGCCAAACCCCCUACCGUAACCGGUCCCGAAAAUCCAAUAUGUAUCGGUUUCGCGUAUCGGUACCGGACCGAUUACGUUCUGUCCCGAACCAACCGGUUCGAUUUUCUUAAAAAUCGAAUAUACCAAUUUUUUUGCACAUCCUUAGCCCAAGGGCGAGGAGGAAUUAAGCAUGCCCGCGAGAAAAUUACUGGAUCAAGAAACCGAUUAGCUUUUGGCUGCUGAAGUUUCUUUGGGAGUUGGAAGGGAGCUUGGAUUUUCUUUACUCGAUACCUCCUUACUACUCGAUUUAAUAUCUUUCUCCUUGGUGCUCGGUCUAGGCUCUUUCUUUUUAGGGCUCAG